rnacentral:rRNA from 1 species
AUACGGAGGAUCCGAGCGUUAUCCGGAUUUAUUGGGUUUAAAGGGAGCGUAGGUGGACAGUUAAGUCAGUUGUGAAGGUUUGCGGCUCAACCGUAAAAUUGCAGUUGAUACUGGCUGUCUUGAGUACAGUAGAGGUGGGCGGAAUUCGUGGUGUAGCGGGGAAAUGCUUAGAUAUCACGAAGAACUCCGAUUGCGAAGGCAGCUCACUGGACUGCAACUGACACUGAUGCUCGAAAGUGUGGGUAUCAAACAGGAUUAGAUACCCUGGUAGUCCACACAGUAAACGAUGAAUACUCGCUGUUUGCGAUAUACAGUAAGCGGCCAAGCGAAAGCAUUAAGUAUUCCACCUGGGGAGUACGCCGGCAACGGUGAAACUCAAAGGAAUUGACGGGG